rnacentral:rRNA from 1 species
AGAGUUUGAUCCUGGCUCAGAGUGAACGCUGGCGGCAUGCCUAACACAUGCAAGUCGAACGGUAACAGGCCCGCAAGGGUGCUGACGAGUGGCGGACGGGUGAGGAAUACAUCGGAAUCUGCCCGGUUGUGGGGGAUAACGUAGGGAAACUUACGCUAAUACCGCAUACGACCGAGAGGUGAAAGCGGGGGAUCGCAAGACCUCGCGCGAUCGGAUGAGCCGAUGUCGGAUUAGCUAGUUGGCGGGGUAAAGGCCCACCAAGGCGACGAUCCGUAGCUGGUCUGAGAGGAUGAUCAGCCACACUGGAACUGAGACACGGUCCAGACUCCUACGGGAGGCAGCAGUGGGGAAUUUUUCGCAAUGGGGGCAACCCUGACGAAGCAACGCCGCGUGGGUGAUGAAGUAUUUCGGUACGUAAAACCCUUUCGACGGGGACGAAACCGCAAGG